rnacentral:lncRNA from 1 species
CUAACUCAAUUUAUUGCAUUUAAAAGAAAAUCACAGCCAAAGACUAUUAUUAUCUGAAUCGGUAGGAUCUUAUAAGAUUGUGAUUCGGAUAGUUUUGUUCAUUCCAGAUUGUAGGACCAUAUGAUCUUACGACACGGAUCGCAAUUCUAAUAACCUUGGCUACACAUGCUCAUGCAUUACCAAUAUGCUCAGCAUGAGCGCACCAAUUUUAAUGAAGCUCAUGCUUGCAUGUAUCCCAUGAUGCAUCCCUCAAUAUUUUUAUGCAAUAAGUUGAAAAUUGCACAUUGGCCAGAAAAGCUUAGGUUCAACUACAAUUAUUCCAGCAAAAUGACAUGGUAACAAUGAUUGAAUUCUUGGUGAGCCAUCUGAAGAAACAGGCAGACUCUUGGUGAGCCAUCAGAUUGUAGGACCAUAUGAUCUUACGACACGGAUCGCAAUUCUAAUAACCUUGGCUACACAUGCUCAUGCAUUACCAAUAUGCUCAGCAUGUGAGCACCAAUUUUAAUGAAGCUCAUGCUUGCAUGUAUCCCAU